GUCAAAGGAGGAUUUUUAUCAAAUCAAAAUAUUCAUUCAUUUUGGGAGAUGAAAUAUAUAUUUCAUCAAUCCUCUAAAUCCAAUGAUUUUAACUCAAAAAAGUCAAAUCAACCUUGAUCAAGGCCCAACAACACAAGUCAAACUCAACAAGUCAAUAUCAAAAGCUCAACACAAUUUGUUUUAUAUUUAAACAAUUAAAAUUAAUUAAAUAAUGCAUUAAA
rnacentral:lncRNA from 1 species